rnacentral:rRNA from 1 species
UACGUAGGGACCAAGCGUUGUUCGGAUUUACUGGGCGUAAAGGGCGCGUAGGCGGCAAAUUAAGUCAGCUGUGAAAUCUCCGAGCUUAACUCGGAACUGUCAGCUGAUACUGAUGUGCUAGAGUGCGGAAGGGGCAAUCGGAAUUCUUGGUGUGAGCGGUGAAAUGCGUAGAUAUCAAGAGGAACACCUGAGGUGAAGACGGGUUGCUGGGCCGACACUGACGCUGAGUGCGCGAAAGCCAGGGGAGCAAACGGGG